rnacentral:rRNA from 1 species
UACGGAGGAUGCGAGCGUUAUCCGGAUUUAUUGGGUUUAAAGGGUGCGUAGGCGGAUUUUUAAGUCAGCGGUAAAAUGUCCGGGCUCAACCCGGGCCGGCCGUUGAAACUGGGGAUCUUGAGUGGGCGAGAAGUAUGCGGAAUGCGUGGUGUAGCGGUGAAAUGCAUAGAUAUCACGCAGAACUCCGAUUGCGAAGGCAGCAUACCGGUGCCCGACUGACGCUGAGGCACGAAAGCGUGGGGAUCGAACAGG